UGGGGCGUCGGCAAGCGGUAAGCCACUGGUUUUUGGCACCAGCAUACGUAGGUUCGAAUCCUACCGCCCCAG
rnacentral:tRNA from 1 species